rnacentral:rRNA from 1 species
GAUGAACGCUAGCGGCAGGCUUAACACAUGCAAGUCGAGGGGUAUAGUUCUUCGGAGCUAGAGACCGGCGCACGGGUGCGUAACGCGUAUGCAAUCUACCUUUUACAGAGGGAUAGCCCAGAGAAAUUUGGAUUAAUACCUCAUAGUAUGUGAGAAUCGCAUGGUUUUCACAUUAAAGUCACAACGGUAAAAGAUGAGCACGCGUCCCAUUAGCUAGAUGGUAAGGUAACGGCUUACCAUGGCGACGACGGGUAGGGGUCCUGAGAGGGAGAUCCCCCACACUGGUACUGAGACACGGACCAGACUCCUACGGGAGGCAGCAGUGAGGAAUAUUGGACAAUGGGCGCAAGCCUGAUCCAGCCAUGCCGCGUGCAGGAUGACGGUCCUAUGGAUUGUAAACUGCUUUUGUACAGGAAGAAACACUCCCUCGUGAGGGANCUUGACGGUACUGUAAGAAUAAGGAUCGGCUAACUCCGUGCCAGCAGCCG